GAAUGCUUUUGUGUUGAGUGAUUGGUUGAUGUGAUUUGCACUUCAGGGCCACCGUAAGCUAGCCUAGUGUGCAUCACGAUGGAUGACAUUGAGGCGAAGUAGUCGCUUUUUCUGUUCUCCCUGGAUGAUCCGACUGGAUUAUUUCAACGCACUCAAUGUUUUGCAAAAGAAACAACAGGCCUGCAACGUUUUUUCUUUUUUUGAUUUUGGGGUUCCGUACCAGUCUAACAGGAAGUCAGAACCGAAGGCGCAUCAGACUUUGAAUGCCCAUAAGCAACUACUUUGUACAACUACAGGACACCUGGCCAUACAGAGCAUGGCACAUUCUGACUGCUAAUCUGGACCCCCACCCCCAGCUGACAACGUGCCACAACACGAGAUGGACGUGGAGAAGUGAAGAUGAUCAAAGAGUAUGAGGAUGUCAGCCGAGAUGCAGUGAAAGAGGACUGAACUAAUCGCUUCAAGAUUGUCUUGGUCCUUCCCAAUGAAACACAGGACAACCAAGACCCAGCGUUUUUCUACAGAGAGCGUAAUUAUAUCAGGGGA